rnacentral:rRNA from 1 species
UACGUAGGGUGCAAGCGUUGUCCGGAUUCAUUGGGCGUAAAGGGCUCGUAGGCGGCCAACUAAGUCAGACGUGAAAUCCCUCGGCUUAACCGGGGAACUGCAUCUGAUACUGGAUGGCUUGAGUUCGGGAGAGGGAUGCGGAAUUCCAGGUGUAGCGGUGAAAUGCGUAGAUAUCUGGAGGAACACCGGUGGCGAAGGCGGCAUCCUGGACCGACACUGACGCUGAGGAGCGAAAGCCAGGGGAGCAAACGGG